rnacentral:rRNA from 1 species
GACGUAGGGUCCGAGCGUUGUCCGGAGUUACUGGGCGUAAAGAGCUCGUAGGCGGUUUGUCGCGUCUGCCGUGAAAGUCCGGGGCUCAACUCCGGAUCUGCGGUGGGUACGGGCAGACUAGAGUGAUGUAGGGGAGACUGGAAUUCCUGGUGUAGCGGUGAAAUGCGCAGAUAUCAGGAAGAACACCCGUGGCGAAGGCGGCUCUCUGGGACGGUACUGACGCUGAGACGCGAAAGCGUGGGGAGCGAACAGG